rnacentral:sRNA from 1 species
UUGACAGCUGGUGGACACUUAAUUCCUCCAGCUAGCCACAGGCCGGCUCUGCACAAGCCAUGGCAGCGUGAGCUUCCACAACAAUGCCCAUGCAAAUGUGCUUCAUUGCUGCUGUGGAGGGAUCACCACUUGAGGCAAAAGGGAGCUCAGACUCCAUGGCCCAUUCAAUCCGCAGGCUCU